rnacentral:rRNA from 1 species
ACGUCUACAUUAGAUACCCGGGUAGUCCCAGCCGUAAACUAUGCGCGUUAGGUGUAUCGGUGACCACGAGUUACCGAGGUGCCGAAGGGAAACCGUGAAACGUGCCGCCUGGGAAGUACGGCCGCAAGGCUGAAACUUAAAGGAAUUGGCGGGGGAGCACAACAACGGGUGGAGCCUGCGGUUUAAUUGGACUCAACGCCGGACAACUCACCGGGAACGACAGCAAUAUGUAGGCCAGGCUGAAGACCUUGCCUGAAUCGCUG